GCAAUCAUAAAACUGACUUUUUUAAAAAAGUUAUUUUGUUUUUCAUAAAACUUCAAUCACAUUCAUAUCAUUUUAACCCGAUACAAUAAAAAGAUAUUCAAAUCGAUCUUACCCUAUGUGGUGUGAGUAAUUCCGUUCCGAAUUAGCUACGAAGAUGGAGCAGAUGAUUAAAGGGUUCGAGAAUGUCAAAAACGAGCAAAUGGUUACUAAAUGGAUGUGAAGAUCGAUUCGAUUAAGCAAGACGGUUUUAGGGUUCGAGAAUGUGAAUUUUGGAGAAGAAGAAUUUGGAGAGAAACAAUUUUAGGGUUCAAGAAUGUGAGUUUUGGAGAAGAUGAAUUUUGAUUAAGCAAGACAGUAUGGUUGGUGUUGGAGCAGAUGAAUUUCGGAGAGAAAGGGAUGAACAAAAUCGAUAUGGAAAAAAAGAUGAAAGAUAUAACGACACACCUUAAGAACAAAUAUGUAGUACACCAUAUAAUCUGACGUUGCAUUGAUUAAAUACACAAAAGCUAAAUGAUUGGUCAUAGGAUUAACUUUACCAGAAAAGUCAUUCUUAUGACUUCACCAUAAAAUUUUCCAUUUUUUUGAAAAUAUUGCAAAAAAUUAUAAGAC
rnacentral:lncRNA from 1 species